UUUUUUUUUUUGUCUUUUGUCUUUUGUCUUUAUAGGGCUGCAUCCCCUGGGAACCUCCAUAUGCCGCAGGUGUGGACCUAAAAAGACAAAAAAAUAAAAAUCUUUAAAAUGAGUAAUGCUGUUACUUCAAAGUAGAGGUGGGUCAGUGGACCAUGCCAGGGACCGUGGUCAUGGUCAUGAGUUCACCAGUGUGGAAACUGAGGCAGAGAAUGGUUGGGUAACUUGGCUGAGGUUACAUAGCAGAGAUGUGGUAGCGUUGGGCAGUGAGGACAAAGUUGACACCUGCCUUAUUGCAAGAAUACAGGAAGGUUUUCACCACUUUGAUGCUAUGAAGUGUUUUGGGAGGUAAGAUGUUAAAACAAAGGCGUUCCAAUUCUUUUAGUACCUUUGAGAUUUUCCUAUCUAACAGAGAACUGAGGUGCAGUUGCUACUGGAAGCUCAGCAACAUAGGGUUUGAAUUGUACAUCCUGGAGUUUAAUCAUGAAGAAAGAGAGAAAAGUAGAGUGUAUUUCAGAGUCGAGGUGUGCCAGUGAACAGGGGAGACUCAGGUAGAUGGGUUUGUGUUCAUGGUGUAUGUGAUGGGGUGGGGAUAGAGACGCAAGAACAGGGAAGACUAGCUGACACGUUCAUUUAACACAUCCUACGAAAUCACCAGUGUGCUGGUAAAUGUUCAUAACCAGCUCUUGGUGAGAGGAGUGCUGGGGUGGGGGAGGGGAAGGGCGUCACUGGUGGCACUUGCCAAUUUCCAUGCUGUAAAUACUCUCACUGUGAUGGAUUUUAGUCUACCACUGUGAUGCCGUUGAACAUGGAAUUGAGAAACAGUCCUCGUUCCACACAGAUAUGUAAAUAACCUCAAGGACAAAGAGAAGAGUAAAAUGUGAGAUAAUUCGAAGUCAUGCAUGUUUGAGUCGUAUUACCUUUGUUUUGGUGUUAUGUAUUUAACCAGUUGAUAUCAUUGUGGUUAACUAUGGGCUCACAAAAUUCCUGAACAUGUAACAAUUGCAGUCUGGUAGGAACUGGCUUGAGCACUCCCUGGCAGGAAAUCAACCAGUGUGUUUUCACAGUGCCGCAGACCAGGAGUGGCUUCAAACUCUUGACAGCAUGUGCCUGGAAAGGUGGAAAACCAUAGGGGUACCACGUUUUAUUUUGGAAUGGACCAUCUGGUUCUGCUAUUAGCAGAAUACAAUUUGGCAUCUCAGGGAGAUGAAUUUUUUUCUAAGGGUCUAAUGUGAAGCGAGUGUUCUUCCCCUCCGUGCUUUCUUCGAGGUCGGCUGUUUCCUACUCUAGUUGUGUUUGGGGUUUGGCUGAGAGGAGGUAAUGGCUUAUUGUUUACACUUGGGAUGGGGGGGCUGGUUUCUAGUGACCAUUGGGUAGAGCAUCUCUAGCCCAAUUUCCUUCGGCAAACUCCGCGGAUGAUUUGCUUCUCUCUCCAGUUUCGUUUUCCUUGUGUGCGUUCUCAGCCCCAAUCACAUGAGCUGCGGAAACAGAUGGCUGUGUAUCCCAGUCCUACCCCUCUGUGCCUAACUCAGGCUGUCCUCUUUUCCUGGGUGCUUUCCCCCUCUUAUAUCCACUCUUCCUGCCACCAACCAGCUAACUCCCACUCGCCCCAGCCAACUCCUAUUCAUUCUUCAAAGUUCAUUCUCAUCUAUGAAUUUAGUAUCUAUAGGACAACUUCCCCAGUGUUCCAGGCUUGACAAGUCAUUAUUGUGUUUCAGAAUAACCCUGCUUUUUAUAAUCCAUGGAAAAUACAUUUUCUUUCCAGUAGACUGUAGGCACACCCAAAUACUUGGGCUCUGUCUUUUAGAAUUGUUUCUAGGGCAUAGUAUGGCAUAUCACUGUACACAGUAGGAGAUCCAUAAAUGCUGCUGAGUUUGUGAUAUUAUUUUUCUCACUGAAAUUAUUCUCUUCCCAAGUCACCUCUUCAGCAUUCCCAUUUACACAGCCUGAAACUGAGAGUCUCAAAAAUCUCCCAUCUUUAUUCUCCUUUUCUGGUAUCACUUCCUAGUUUCUAAAAAGAAAUUCUCUCCCUUUAAGUAGCCAGUCCCAGGAGGGAAAUGAUAAUUUCUUAAAAGUGGUGGUUCAGAAGGAUACUUUUCUCUGAAAGGUUAUUCCUAAAAGCUGGCUGCUGUUAGCCACAUCCACCUGCCCUAAGGUAAUGUCACCGGGAAUUAAAGGAUUGCCAUUUCCAGAAUUAUGCCUAUUAGAGACAAAUUGUCCAAGUCGGUAAAAGAAAAACCUCCAGGUAGGAUGCUGAGCUCUCCGGGAAGGUGAAGAGCAGGAGAAUAAUAAGUUACUUUACUGACGCUGUGUGCUGAUUGGAGAAGAGCAAAAUAGUUAUCAGAGGGCUUUUUUGGGGGGGCACACCUGUGGCAUAUGGAAGUUCCCAGGCUAGGGGUUGAAUUGGAGCUGCAGCUGCCCACCUAUGCCCAGCCACAGCAAUGUGGGAUUUGAGCCUCAUCUGGGACCUACACCACAGUUCAUGGCAAUGCUGGAUCCUUAACCUACUGAGUGGGGCCAGGGAUCAAACCCAAAUCUGCAUGGAUACUAGUCAGGUUUGUUUCUGCUGAGCCACCAAGGGGACUCCCAGAGAGCUUCUUUUGAGCAUGUUGGAUGAGAAAAAUCAACUCAUCUCCUUUGUAUUUCUGUGUAAGUUCCAAACAGGCAGAGUGUCGUUCCCAGGCGUUUUGCAAGGGUCAGCUGAGAAUGGUUCUUUUGAGUUUGUACCUGGAAUUUUCCAUCACUCUCUCUCUCAUCACCUCUCAAAACGGAAGCCAUGGUGUCAUGGGGUAUAUAAGAGGUCUCCCAAAUAUUGCUUCCUGAGGUGUUCCUCUGUCCCAGUGACGUCAGGCUAGACCGAGUGAUUUGCUUUGGCCAAGGCAGUGUGAGGAGAAGUAAUGUGUGCCAUGUCCAAGUCCAAGUUUGAGGCGCCGAUGUCCUAAAGGGAGGCUGCAGCAUUGGCGUGGGUCUCGGACUGAAGACAGCAUGGGAUGGAGCUGUAGAUGACCUCAGGGUGACAGGUGCAUGAAUGAAGAUGAAAUCCUAUAACUAAUGGUUGUAAGUCCCUGUGAUGUGAGCAUUGGUUGUUACUGCAGCAGCUCUUCGCUUGAGUUGAUUGAUGCAGACAGUGGUUAAAGGAAUUUGCCAGAUUACCAGAUUUCCUAAAGAAAGAAAGGGAAAGAGCUUACCUUAAAACAUCAAAAAGCUUUAGGAGUUCCCUGAUGGCCUAGCAGGACUGCUGUGACUCAGGUUAUUGCUGUGGUGUGGGUUGAUUCCUGGCCCAGAACUUCUGCAUGCAGCGGGUGUGGCCAAAAAAAAAAAAAAAAAAAAAAAAAAAGCUUUAGUCAACAUAAACUUAUUCAGUGUUUACUGAAGAUAUAAGUGAUUAUUACAUACUAAAUGAGCAUUUCUAUGCAAAGAUGCCAUUAUCUCUGACCUGGCUUUAUCUUUUCUGUUUCUGCAGGUAAGUUGAUUGGUAGUUGGUCUGGUCAUUCUUUGAAUGGAGAUAUGCUAAAUGUCUACUCUCAUCCAAAUGCUGUGUUAGGUGCUGGGCAUCAUGGGGAACAGGACAGACAAGUCCUGGUCCUCAUAGAACUUUCACUUUUGUUGGGUCAAGAAACUAGAAAACAAAAUCCAGGACCCGACGUAAACGUAGUAAUGUUUCUGGGGCAUGGGAGAGGCACGGGGCCACUCCCCCUAGAACAGUUCCUUCAUCAUAUGGAUGGAUGUACUUCUCUUUAUAGAGAAAUUGAACGGUUAUGUACCAGUGCCUUUUUUUUUCUUUUUAAUGGAGUCAGUUUUACAUCCAUCCCUUUAAUAAAAAGCGCUGGGACGGAAAUUUAAAGCUGAAAGCCAUUCUGUUUUACAAGUGAUUUGUGAUGUAAAUAAACAUUCAUCUUCUGAUUUGUUUGGAGUUAAGUCUGAGUCUUAUCCAUAAGAGGACUUCCUUCCAAUGUCAAGGAGAACUCUUCUGAGAUGAUAUUAUAGAGGACUUGGUUCAGAAGUAGCCGGGGAAACCCCAGGGAAGUUCACUUUAACUUGGUUCCAGAACAUGUGACCCAUGUGUUCUACCAAGCGCUGAUCCAGGGCAUCCCAUUUUCUGAUAGCAGGGCUUCCCUGUGGAUAGAGUCUGCAUCUGCUUCCAACAAGGCUAAGAUGAGCUCAGGGUACCAGUGGUCACAGUCGCAAAAGCACACCAGCUAGCUUUGAUGGUUUCAAAUCUGGCAAAGCCAACAAAACCAGACAAGGAGAGAAUAUUGAGUGCAUUUAUCAGAAGUGAACUCAGCUUUGGCAACCAUUCUGCUCUCUGACGAGAAUCAGAAAAUGUCAAAAUUAAAAGCCGUGAAACUCAUCAUUUUACAGUUGUGGAAACUAAGACCGAAAGAGAUUAAUAGGGGUUGUCUGAAUGAGUCAGAUGGUUCAUUCAUUCAUUUAUUCAUUUAACACAACCUCAUAGAGCACUAAGUCGCUUGGAGCUGGGUGCCAAGCUGGAUCCUGGGAUGAUAACAAGGGAUGAAAUAGUGUUUGUUCCUGGGAAGUUUGCAGGGUGGAGAGUCUAGGGGAGGUGAGAGCUGUGAAGGAAAGGGAGAUAGUGCUGUGACCUCUACUUAUCUCUAAACAGCCUGAUCUGGUCUGUGGGGCAAUGGCUGGAGGAAGGAUUCCCUGAGGAGAUGACUCUCCAGCAGAGGCCUGAAGGAUAACAAGGAUAAGGUCAGGCAAAGAGGAUGCUCCAAGAAUCCCUCCAGGGCUAUGAGCAAAGUGCCCACAAAGGAGUGCUGGUGAUGGGAGUGUGGUGUGCUCAAGAAAUGGGAAGUCAUCGAGGUUGGAGACUAGAGAGCAAGGAGCGCAAAGUUUCUGAGGGAAGGCUCUAGAAAGAGUCAUGGGCACAGUGGAAACCUCAAAGGAGGGAGUGGCAUAACCAGAUUUUCUUUUUGAAAAGACCAUGCUAGCUAGGAAUAGAAGGGCAUUCACUUUAAUACCAUAAAGAUCUGUAAGAAGCCUAAAGCAAGCAUCAUACUUUAUGGUGAAAGAGUGAAAGCCUUUCCCCUUAAGAGCAGAAAUAAAAUAAGAAUGUUCCCAAUCGUUAUUUUCUAAGUCCUAGACAGUGGCAUAAAGGUAGAUUAAAAUAGGAGCUUCUUCGUGACUCAGUGGAAACAAAUCGGAGUAGUAUUCAUGAGGACACAGGUUCGAUCCCUGGCCUCGCUCAGUGGGUUAAAGAUCCAGCGUUGCCAUGAACUGUGGUGUAGGUCGAAGACGUGGCUUGGAUCCUGUGUGGCUGUGGCAUAGACCAGCAGCUGUAGCUCUGAUUCAGCCCCUAACCUGGGAAACUCCAUAUGCCACGGGUACAGCCCUAAAAAGACAAAACAAACAAACAAA
rnacentral:lncRNA from 1 species